ensembl:lncRNA
AUGUGCACAAUGUUGAUGUAUGGGGCCUCUGCAGCUGCUCUCCUCACCAUAAUAGUUGCUGUCACUAUCGCUGUGUGUCUGCACCGUGGGCAUCCUGUGGUUAUUGAUGCAGAUACAAGACAAAGAGGCACAGGCACUGAGAACAAACGGGAUCAAUCUGGGAGACGUGGAGAAGCAAGAAGGCCAGUUAGAUCAUCGUUCUCGGUAAGUAGCUAUUGUAUUUGGGUUAAACUAUCAUUUUUGGUCGUGCUAAAUGUUUUUUUUUUUAUGUUGCAUGAUUUUAUAAUCUAUUGCCAUGCUAUCAGAUUUUCUCACAUAGUAAAGGUGGUGGAACUCAUUUUUUAUCUCCAUUUCGGCCCAAUUUAACUCUUGGGGACGGUUUACUGGGAAUAGAUUAAGCCAAUAGUCCUUGACUAAAAAAAACAUGUUAUAUGGACAUUUUCCAUUGAACAUGGUUUUUAGUUAAUAUUUUAAUAUUUUUUCAGGAAAGGCCCCAUAGUGUAUUCAUGUUGAAAAAACACGAAUGUUAUGAUCCGAACAUACUGCUCUGAAAUGUCUCGUACUGGUGUAUUACUUGUUAAGUAUAGUGAAAAUACAGUACUUAUAGGUGAUAUACCUGGUUGUGUAAAUACACAUUGACAUUUGUACAUGGAUUAUAUUUGUAAACAAACUCAAAUGAAUUGAGGCUAAACCUACUUUCACCCCUAGAGUGAUUGUUUUAGAUUACUCAUCUCAAUUGUGAAUGUAUUGAUUGACUGACGUAAUAUCACUUCUAUGGUAUGAAUCCUCACAUAUGAGAGCCUGGUUUACAUUUGCAUUAUUGCUGCCCCAAUUCAGUCCACAUAAAGUUUUAAAGCAGUUUUGUAUACUUGAAUAUAAAGCAUCAACUAUACUGUACCUAUUUCUGAACCCUUGAGAAUUAACUCCCUGGUGUUGAUCGUUCCACAGGAGGUCCAGUAUGCGACUUUGGACCAUAUCAAUUUUGGGAGACGCACAAAUACAGUUCUCCAAUCAGAUUUUGACAAAGAAAUUGCAUAAAAAUUCCUUGUAUUUUGUCAUGAUGUAGAUGCUUAUGAACUGCCACUGAAAACAUUUCAGAUUAUUAUUUAUGUAUAAAGCAAGAGCCGGUGUCCGCAAUUGCUAAGUACUUUCUUUUAUAUUGGAAUUCAACUGUGGAGUAGUCUCCCAUUAGUCAUAAAUCUGUCCCAGUCCAGAAAGGCUUUCAGAGGUCAGGUUAGAUCCCUUCCGUCAGGAAAAGUGCACAGGUCUAAAUAGGAAAAUUACUGAAUAUUCUUGAAUUUUGUAUGGAUUGUGUAUUUUUUAUGGUGUAGGCUAGUUAGGGACUUGUCACAGGAGGUUGGUGGCACCUUAAUUGGGGAGGAUGGUUUCGUGGUAUUGGCUGGAGUGGAAUAGUAUGAAAUACAUCAAACACAUGGAUUGAUGCCAAUCCAUUUGCUUUGUUCCAGACAUUAUUAUCAGCCGUUCUCCCCUCAGCAGCCUCCACUGGCCCAUGUAUUUCCAUGGAUUUUCUUGUGUUGUGUCCUGUUUUUGUCCUACACAGAAGACCACAUUGGAAAUAAGUGUUCUUACACUAUUGUGUGUCAUCCUCUGGGAUUCUUUGUACUUUUAAAACUGUAAGAAUUGUAUUAUCCAAAAUCAAAUCAAUCAAUCAAUCAAUAUGGCUUGUAAAUGAAUGUCUUUGUUUUGUUUUUUUCUUCGUUUUAUUACCUCUUAUCUAAUUUACCAUUUCCCUGGAACCCUUAGUGCCAAACAUGCCUCUGUUUUUGAACAGAUAUCUAAAACAUAUGUUUAAAAACUUUGCUUGAAUGCAACAACAAAAAAUAUGAUGUUAAAAUGUUCAAUCUCAAGCGCACUUUGACAAAGUGUACGUCUUGAUUUCUCUGACCAAAAUGAGAAGGCUCCUGCACAGACUGCAGAUUGUGGAACAUGACAAAGUGUCACAGGUAACAUGUGUAGGACUGUAGCCUUCGGAACAGAAGCUGACCACAGUAGUUUAAGCUUUAGCUGCAUCUCUCUCUCGCUCUCUUUCUCUGCGAGGAGUGGUUUUUCUGAGCAUGAUAUGCUUUUGGACAGACACCGCUUUGAUCAAAUCUGUGCUUUGCUUAUAACAAACCACUUGCGGAUUCUAUAUUCAGACUUUUUCACCCAAUAGCGCAAUAUACUAGAUAGCAAACCACGAAAGUAAAAAGGUUAUCAGCUCCCAUCCGAUCACCAAACCUCAGCAGCCUUCACGAAAUGAAUGAAAGUCAGACAAUAGAUGGAAUGUGCUGUUAUUAUUGUAACAGUUCAUUUUCUACAACAACAGUAUUUUAAAGGAUUGGAAAAUAGUUAUGCUCCCACUUAGUUCUGAAUGGGAAAUAAAGCACUCUGGCCGAUGAGUGACAAGGAUCUGCAUUCCAUCCAAUUCACACAUGAUUUAAUAAAAGGUUUAGUAGUUUUCAAUUAAGUGUAGCUGGAUUCAGUCAUGAUGAAAUCAAGUAAGUAAUGGCAAGACAUAACAAAAGUGUUACAAUGAAAUGUUAAUGUACUCUUAAUACAAAGGACAGUAGUCGUUUUUGGUAAGUAAAAAGUUAUGACUUUAGUGAACUGANAUUAUACACUUCUACAGUAUGAUACCCAUCACAGAAAUAAUUAUUUUGUCAAAUAAGACGGCUACUUUUUAAAAUAUUGACACAGAUAACUUGGUUAACGAAGUUUCCUACCUAAUGUGUUUGUAUAGUUAACUUCAGCCUACCUGAUGUUUGAAUAGGAAGGAAAAAACUACAGACUAUCUGAGUGACAGGACAGGUAGAUUUGAAGUAAACAUUCACAUCUACUGGAUGUUUGGAGACAGUGACACAAGAUGAGAAAGAAGAGCAUUUCAUCAUGACAGUACUUGAAGGAUAGAUAGCACUUUAUGGAAGCACUAGGCUCCUCUAACACAUAUGUUUUAUGCAUUUUGCAUUUAACAUCUUCCUAGUAGGUAUGAAGCACUCCGUAUCUCUCAAAGCACUUUUAUUCUGAAUGUUGGGUUACUGCAGUUUUCACAAUGAAAGCCCUCCUCCUUUCUUUAGUUUGGGGAUUUUCUGUUACUUUUCUCAAGUUAGCCUGAAUAAAAAACUAAUGAACACAGAUAGCACUUUCAGUUAGUCUGCUUUUUUUGUUUGACAUUUUUCUUUAUUUAUUUUUUUACUUUUGACUAUGAUUCAGGCAACAUACGUGACUACAUUGAACAGAAAUAUAAACGCAACAUGCAACAAUUUCAAAGAUUUUACUGAGUUACAGUUCAUAUGUGUAAAGAAAUCAGUCAAUUGAAAUAAAUUCAUGAGGCCC